GUCAAGCAACUCAUUUCUCUUCUUCUCUGUAAUCUCUCUCUCUCUCUGCGAGCUUCGUUUUCAAGCUGGUACUGCUACAUUGCUGUUAGAAACCCACCAAAAACAUCAAGCAAAGUGCGAUCCCUCAAUCUUUUUAUCAUUAAUAAUAUUUCGAUUGAAGAAAAGGGAUGACGUGUUUUAUUUCCUAUAUUUUCGAGGAAACCAGACGAAGCUUGAAGCGCUGCUUAUGUAUAUUUUCUUGGAAACCAGACGAAACCACCAAGGCCAUCCACUGCUCCACUGCCUCAGGCCCUCGCCUCUGGCUGCCCGCAUGUGCUUCCUUCCACCGCCUCAACACACCAUGUACGGCCUCCGCUAAAGGAGUGGCUACGGCCGCUGCUGCGAUUCAGACAUCCUUUUCGGCUCCUCUGGAAUAGAGUAGGAAAAACGACCACUCGCAGCCGCCUAUGUAUACCGGGGUCUGGGUGCCCCCUCACUUCCAUUAGAUCCAUUACAACAAGAAGUGUAUGAGCCUACGUGAAAAGUUAAUGUUGAUUUUUGGUGAACCGGGUCAACGUCUGUCUGCAAGAUUGCUGAGGGAGGAGCAAGAAAAAAGACGUGGGAAACAUCAACAUUGAAUAGCUAGCCUAGGUGAGGAGAGCGAAGGAGAAACAAAAGCAAGAUGAUGAUCGGGACGAACGUCUAUUUAAACUAAUAGCUGAGGCAAGAGCUAAGAGAGAGCCGAAAUGUCAACGAUGCCAGAUCAGUAAAGUGACGGAUACACAGCUGCUGGAUUUCAGAAAGAGGGUCUUCGUGAGCGGGGUACGUGAAUGUUUACAUAAAUAAAAACUUGUGUUGAAGAAUUCUUCUAUUUGAUCGAAUUUAUUAGUAAACCGGGUCAACUCGGACUAGUCGGCGUCUCGGUGCUCCUUUUCCGCUCGACUACCGCUUAGCUAUUUUUAGAACAUUGGGGGUGUUACCAAUUAUUUCCAAAGUAGUUCUAUUCCUGUAACUCGGCUAUUUCCAACUCCGAAGGGAUAUUAUGGACGAUACUUUAGCAUGCAAUGAUCUACAAAGAUUAAAAACCUCCUUCUCACCAAAUCUUAUAUCCAAACAGGCCCAGCCCUAGGGCAAGGCCCUAGAGGCCGCGGCCUGGGGCCUCCAAAUUUGGGCCUAAAAUAUGGGCCCCCUUCUACAAUAAGUAUAUCAGGUCAAGGAGAUGGCUCGUUCUGGUUCUCCCACUCUCAACUUCCAGGCUAUUGUGAAAACUUUUUAAGGGUCAGGCAACUGUCGAGUUUAGUGCGCUUGAACCGUAAUCCUAUGUACUCCAAGGUACGCUUACGUGCUUAUACUGUUAUAUGUGUUUAUACUGUUCUUGGGUUGCUGAUUGUCUUGUGCGCGAUGUUACCAUCUCUUUUCAGAACACUAAAUUUGGUGAUUCAAAGUGAUCCUGUGGAAUUUUUCCCAUUUGUUUCGUUAGUGGUCUCCUUAGUUGUGAAAAGCACCUAAAAGUUACAUUUUCAUUGCAUUUUUCAAAUUUUUUAUACAAUCUUACAUCUUUUAAGGUAAUUUUUACUCAGUGGUGGUGGUUACCAUCACCCAAAUAUUAAAACUAAAUGAUUUAUCUACUUUUUGUCAGUUGGUUUCAAAAUUGUCCUUGCAUUUUUUUUCUGUAUCAAUCUCGUCUGUAUAAUAGUCAUUGUUCAAUGUUCAAUGUCACCCUUACCAUCAACUAGAAUAUGCUAACAAAGUCCAUGAAGUUUGCUUAUGAGGAGGUGACAUAGAGCCAACAUGAAUAACAUUAGAAAAACUAAGUGAAAAAAAGUGUUUUGCCUCCCUCAAUGUGUGAAAAGACUAGAAAAAAUCACAAAUUUCUAAAUCUUUAUAAAAACAAAAGAGACCCACAUUCCUAAUAAUUCCUUAUAUAAUAGGAAUGGUAGGUAUCUAAUAAUUCCUUUUUAGGAAUAGGGAGUAGGGCUAAUAUUAGGAUAUGUUGUAGAGUCUAUUAAAUUAAGGAAUGGAAAGAGCAUGGGACACUUGGUUGGUCUCCCCUCCCCUAUCGAGGGCUGGGAUUCUAACUUUGAUGGAUUGCCAGUUUUUCCUUGUUGUGAAGCCUGAUCUCUUUGGAUCCUUUUAAUCGUUGUAACUUGUUUCAAUGAUCAAUAAAAUCUUUCUUUUGCCGAGGAAAGAAAAAAGGGCAUGGGACACUUGUCGCGACGAGGGCCCUUUUCACAAAACGCGACAUUGCGUUAAUACAUAGUAUAGAUUUAUCUCUCUUAAAUUUUUUUUUUGGUCUUGUUUUUUUGUGUGCCAAGGGAGACGUUUAUUGGGGAUACGAGGAUGAAGAUGUAAACGAUCGGGCUACUGAGGCUAUCCGCUCGGUUCUCGUCUUUGCAUGUGGAGUUAUAGCAGGUGAAGACAACGUAUGGAUCCAAAGCACUUGCCCCCAGAAGAACGGGGCGACAACGGCUUGGUGCGGUUUCUGCACAUCUCUUCAGGCGGUGUAGGUAUCCAGACAUCAAUGGCAUCUCUCUGGAAAUUCCAUGAUCCAAAUCAUUGGUCAUGAACUAGUUUUUAUAUACCAUACAAAGAGGAUGAGCUUCCAGCAACAUCACGUAUAGAAAACAUACUUUCAUAGAUCAUGUUUGGUAAUAAUUUCAUUACAUAUGUCAGAAAAAGGAAGGAGGACUUGAUUUUGAGUUUGUGAGAGAUUGGAUCUAUUUGUGAACUUGUUUAUGUUUGGUUGGUUUAUGUUAAGGACUUGGGUAUGUAUGGUUUGUUCUACGAAUUUCAGAGAAAAUUGGAAGGCA